UUCAGCCGGGUGGGGCAGGAUGGGGAGGGUUCCUCGACUCCUCUCUCUAGGCGGUUUCCACGGCAACCAGGCGGCUUUGGCCAAUGGGGAAAGGCCAGCCGAUCGGGGCGGGAGAGGGUGUGGCCUGGACCUCGGAGGCGGGCCCCGGGCGGGGCCUGUCUGGCCACGCCCCCUCCGCUGUGCGCCAGUCUCGGGUGGGGGAGGCGGGGCCGGCCGGGCUAGAAUCGGAGAGCUGCGGCUGCGGCGCUGGCAGAGGAGCCGGAGCCCGAGGUCCAGGAGCCGCCGCGGCGGGAGCAUCAGGCCGGAGCGCGAGGCCCCGCAGGCCCGGGCCGGGCACCGCCGCCAGCCGCGGCUGCGCUCAGAGAUCCGCCCGGGCAUCCUCCCCCACGGGCCGGGCACGGGACCCAGAGCGCGUGCACAGGGGCUGGACAGCCGGGCCCCCCGGCCCCCGGCCCCCAUGUGCGUCUGCUCCCGGAAUGACCUCGGCCGAUGGAGCCCCGGCCACCCCGCUCCUGCUGCCCUGGAAGCUGGCCCCGCGGGCCCAGGGGCCGGGCCGGUGCCCGGCGGGCAGCCCCGGGCGCAUCCUGGCCACCGUGCUGGUGUGGCUGGUGGCGGGCACCGGCAUGUCCAGCCUCAACAAGUGGAUCUUCGCCGUGCACGGCUUCCGCUACCCGCUGCUGCUGUCCUCCCUGCACAUGCUGACCGCCGUGCUCGUGGGCUACCCGCUGGCCGGGCGGGGGGCGCGCGGGCCUCUGCCGGCCCGGGCCAGGAGGAGGGUCUUCCUGCUCAGCCUGACCUUCUGUGCCACCAUGGCCUGCGGGAACCUGGGCCUCACCUACGUGCACCUGGACUUCGCCCAGAUGGUCUACACCACCACGCCCCUCUUCACCCUGGCCCUGUCCAAGGCCCUCCUGGGCAAGCGCCAUCACCCGCUGCAGUACGCGGCCAUGGGGCCCAUCUGCCUGGGCGCUGCCUGCAGCAUCAUGGGCGAGAUGCACUUCCACCACACCGGCUGCUGCUUCCUCUUCGCCGCCACCUUCCUCCGGGGCCUCAAAUCCGUCCAGCAAAGUGUCCUGCUGCGGGAGGAGAGGCUGGACUCGGUGGCCCUGCUGUACCUGACGUCCCUGCCCAGCUUCUGCCUGCUGCUGGGGGCCGCCCUGGUGCUGGAGCUGGGCGGCCCCGGCGCGGGCCCGGCCCCCACUGACCGCGGCCUCUGGCUGCUGCUGCUGCUCAGCUGCCUGCUCUCCGUCCUCUACAACCUGGCCAGCUUCUCCCUGCUGGCGCUCACCUCGGCCCUCACCGUGCACGUGCUGGGCAACUUCCACGUGGUGGGCAACCUGGCGCUGUCCUGGCUGCUGUUCGGGAGCCGCCUGAGCGGCCUCAGCUACGUGGGCAUCGCCCUCACGCUGCUGGGCAUGUUUCUGUACCACAACUGCCACCUGGUGGCCUCCUGGUGGGCCCUGGGCUGGGCGGGCCGGCCCGCGGGGGCCCCGUGAAGGUCGGCCGUGCUCCCCGUGCCCGAAGGUCAGCAGUGCUCCCUGUGCCCGCCGGGGCCCCUGAAGGUCGGCCGUGCUCCCCGUGCCCAAAGGUCGGCUGUGCUCCCUGUGCCCGAAGGUCGGCCGUGCUCCCCAUGCCCGAAGGUCGGCCGUGCUCCCAGUGCCCGAAGGUCAGCUGUGCUCCUUGUGCCCGAAGGUCGGCCGUGCUCCCCGUGCCCAAAGGUUGGCUGUGCUCCCUGUGCCCGAAGGUCGGCUGUGCUCCCUGUGCCCAAAGGUCAGCUGUGCUCCCUGUGCCUGCCGGGGCCCCUGAAGGUCGGCCGUGCUCCCCAUGCCCGAAGGUCACUUGUGCUCCCCGUGCCCGAAGGUCGGCCGUGCUCCCUGUGCCCAAAGGUCAGCCGUGCUCCCUGUGCCCGCCGGGCCCGGCUAGUCCGUCCUUAGCUUCCACCGCCAGCCUGGGAGAGGAGGAGCCCCGGGACAUGGGGGAGCCCCAGCCAAGAAGAGCCUUGCAGAAAAACCUCCAGGGGCGGGGCGGCUGGCCCUCGGAGCGCUGUCUGUUCCAGGACCUCGGGGUGACUAGGAGCUUGCCCGCCCCGCGAGGGGCCAGCGGUGGGAUUAUCGCCCUCAUUUUACAAAGGAGAACCCAGUGCCGCGGCUGUCCCGGGCUCCCCCUGCGGCCUCGGUCCGACUGCAGCCUGGCCGGUCGCUCCCUCUCCCAGACCUUGCCUCAGUUUCCCCUUCUGUUAAAAGAGCGCGGCUCACUACCAGGGCUCGGCGGAGGAUGGCGACGCGCGUGAGCACUGCGACUAAAGUGAUCGCGGCUGCUGCAGCCGCCAGCCCCCGCUGUUCUGGUGAGGGUGACGGGCUGGGGGGAUUCCCUGUCUGUCCCCAGGCCGUCCGGUGCCCCCAGCCUGGGCUGGCCGUGGGGCUGCUCCAGAGAGACCAGGUCAGGCCGGGCUUCUUGGCGCCCCCUCCCCACUCAUCUCUCUGCUGCCAAAGCCAGGGAGGGGAAGGGGGCCGUUUCCUGGGGGGUCGCUGGCUGGAACCCCCCCGCCCCGUGGGCUUCGGCCUUGGCCGGGACGAUCCCCCAGGCCGGGCUGUCUGGCCGUGGAGGGGACUUCUUGGGCAGGUGCCCGUCCUGUGCCGGGCUUGGGGGCUGCGAAGGGGCUAUUUCCGUCCUCAAAUAAAGCACUGUUUGGUUCUC